rnacentral:tRNA from 1 species
GCCAGCGUAGCUUAGUUAAAGCAUAACACUGAAGAUGUUAAGACGGGCCCUAGAAAGCCCCGCAAGCA